rnacentral:rRNA from 1 species
AGUGAACGCUGGCGGUAGGCCUAACACAUGCAAGUCGAACGGCAGCACAGUAAGAGCUUGCUCUUACGGGUGGCGAGUGGCGGACGGGUGAGGAAUACAUCGGAAUCUACUUUUUCGUGGGGGAUAACGUAGGGAAACUUACUCUAAUACCGCAUCCGACCUACGGGUGAAAGCAGGGGAUCUUCGGACCUUGCGCGAUUGAAUGAGCCGAUGUCGGAUUAGCUAGUUGGCGGGGUAAAGGCCCACCAAGGCGACGAUCCGUAGCUGGUCUGAGAGGAUGAUCAGCGACACUGGAGCUGAGACAGGGUCCAGACUCCUACGGGAGGCAGCAGUGGGGAAUAUUGGACAAUGGGCGCAAGCCUGAUCCAGCCAUACCGCGUGUGUGAAGAAGGCCUUCGGGUUGUAAAGCCCUUUUGUUGGGAAAGAAAAGCAGCAGGUUAAUACCCCGCUGUUCUGACGGUACCCAAAGAAGAAGCACCGGCUAACUUCGUG